ACAUACCAAAAAACAAAAAAAAGGGACGGCUACACAAUACCAUGUGUUUCCACCUUUCUUCAACUAAAAAAAGAACCAGCAACUCUCACGGACUCCAUUUUAAAAGAUUCAGCCACACCCAUCAUCUUCUACGAGCUGCCACCCUAACUUCCCCAACAAAUCGCAAAAAAUCCCAACUAAGAACCAGCCUAAACAACCACCAUCUACUCUUUCCGGAACCACCCCUAAACCUUCCUUCAAAUCGCCCAAACAUCACCAAAAACUAGCUAGAAUUUCCAGCUAAAAAAUGCAACAACAUAGCCUCGAGAAAGCUGUAAAACCAUCUCAAAAAACGUAAAAACAACAGCACAAACUGCUGCCAUUUUCAUCGAGGAAACAACUCCAAAAUCCUCCAUUAAUCCCGUGAAGCUCUGUGCUCGAGUUUGUCAUCGACGAGAUUCACACGAAUCGCUGUAUCGAGUUCCGGUUAGUGGCUUUACGCAUUUGUCUUAUGGACUUGUAGAGGAAAUAUUUGAGGUCAAUUUUCUUCUCUUUCUAUAUUAAGGUUAAAUAUUGGUGCUGUGUACUGAUGUGUUCUCUACUAUGUGAUGUGUAUGUGUGAUGCGUAUGCAUAUAGAGUGUACACAAAUUGGAGAAACAAGCUAAUUAACGGGCUAAUGCUACUCUAACAUGAUUUUUACAUCUGAUUAUUUGGUAGAUCGUAACAAAUGAACUGGUAAUCCGUAUAUGGACAAUACGUUCCAUCAAAGGUCCUUUGUAUUCGUUGGUUUAUUUUUUUUAAGAUUAUAAUUUGCUGCUAGUAUGUUUCUUACAAGGUUACCAGCAAAAUCAUUUCUAUUCCUUGACAGAAAACUGUUUAGAGCAUGCUAAGUUAUGGUUUGGUUGUUGUGUUUGACAGAAACUCUGUUAUAGAUAAAAUUGCUACCAUUAUUACCUUGAGUUUGGAUUUAGACCAUAAUGAAUUGUUGACUAUUUUUAACAUAAAUUAGCCAAAUUGGGUUGUCCUUUUUCUGGUAAUUAGCUUUUCAAUACGAGCUGGCGAGAGUAGGAUUAAAUUUACUAGCUUUGUUCCUGUGUAGGUGGAGAAUUACAUAUUCCUUUGACUUCUAUUCUCUAAUGAAUUUCAUGUUCCAUAUUGAAAUAUUUGUAAUGCAGGGAAACUUUGGAUAAUGAGGAGAGUUCUUGUAGUGUUAUUUUAAAGAAUAAACAGAAAGAAAUUUGAUAGUGCUUUAUUGGUUAAAUAUCUAAAUUGUGUAUAAAUUGAAAU
rnacentral:lncRNA from 1 species